AACUUAAUAACCUUACAUAUACAAUCUCCCAAAGAAAAAAAGAAAUUUCACAAUCUCCAAAUGGAAAGCCAUCAUGGACAAAGCGAUUGUUGCUUGAUGAGAAGCUGCUUUGCUAAAAAAUUCGGGAGGAGGCAGAUGAAUUAUCCCGAACUUUGGAGGAAAAUGAUGAUAAGUUACGCACUUCAUCAGAAGCAGCAUAUUUGUUAUACCAUGCCUUGGUUUUGCUUGCCAAUAGAGGAGUAAAAGUUGAGAGGUUCUCCAGAUACUUAGACACGGGUUUUCACAGUCAGGCAUUGAACAAAAGAGGAGCCGGAAAUCCUAAUGAUCUUUCAGUUUUCAGAUCAACGAUCUAUUGGAUCAGAAUUCAGAUCAAAUUAGCAUCCAUCUAAAGGGGGGUAUUGAAGGCACCUUGGUAUCAAUUGACUUCAAUUGAGAUAUACCCCAUUGCAAUUUGCAACUGUAUAAAUGCUUGCCAUAGCCAGUUAGAAUGGUGGAAGUAAAUUUGUGCGUUUAUGAAACAUAUUACGUGCUUCCCGUAUUUCUGUUUGGGAUGAUGCUUCUUGUUGGUUGCCAUGGUUACACAGACCAGUAACACGUGCUGCUGUCAUCCAGAUAUUUGCAUCUUCUUUGCACUUGCUGUAUAUGUUGUCCCUUUAGCUCUUGGCUGUUAAUGCUCUUCAACUACAAAUGUUGUAUACAAAAGAGUGUUUAAUAAUUUCUAAUGGAAAAUUGUAAAUGUAUUUUAGUGAUUUGAGCUUUU